rnacentral:rRNA from 1 species
CUGAUAGGAUACUGAUAAUGACAAUAUUCUAUACAAGUCUUGACUAAAUCACGUGCCAGCAGUCGCGGCAAUACGGGAAAGACGAGUGUUAUUCAUCUUUAUUAGGUUUAAAGGGUACCUAGACAGUAUAUUUUGCUAUUAUGAAAACAUUUAUGCUAGAGUUUUAUGUGAGAGGAGUUUAGUACUAACGGAGUAGGGAUAAAAUCUUUUAAUACUGUUGGGCACUGAUAACGGCGAAGGCAGACCUCUAUGUAAAAACUGACGUUGAGGGACGAAGGCUUGGGUAGCAAACAGGAUUAGAUACCCUAAUAGUCCAGGCAGAAAAUGAUGAGUGCCAUAGAUUAGAGUAAAUUUGGUCUAUAAAUGAAAGUGUAAGCAUUCCACCUCAAGAGUAAUGUGGCAACGCAGGAACUGAAAUCAUUAGACCGUGUCUGAAACCAGUAGUGAAGUAUGUUAUUUAAUUCGUUAACCCGCGAAAAACCUUACCACAAAUUGGAUAUACUAACAUUUUAAAGCAAAAUUGUUUUAUUAGGAAUCUUUUAAAUAAGAAUGUUAUUUAUACUAGCGCUGCAUGGCUGUCUUAAGUUAAUGUCGUGAGGUGCAGGUUAGCUCCAUUAAAUUAACGUAAACCCUCAUCACACUUUGAGUGUGGUGGUUCUCUGGCAUAUCGGAAAGAUAAGGGGGAACAAGACAAGUCCUCAUGGCCUAAACUUUUGUGGGCUAUAGACGUGCCACAUAUGCCUUUACAAAGUGAUGCAAAGAUGCG